rnacentral:rRNA from 1 species
UACAGGGGGGGCAAGCGUUGUUCGGAAUUAUUGGGCGUAAAGCGCGUGUAGGCGGCUUUGCAAGUCGGGUGUGAAAGCCCUCAGCUUAACUGAGGAAGUGCGCCCGAAACUGCAGAGCUUGAGUACCGGAGAGGAUGGCGGAAUUCCCCAAGUAGAGGUGAAAUUCGUAGAUAUGGGGAGGAACACCGGUGGCGAAGGCGGCCAUCUGGACGGAUACUGACGCUGAGACGCGAAAGCGUGGGUAGCAAACAGG